rnacentral:lncRNA from 1 species
GGGGGGUCUCUCCGCAGGUGGCGAGUGGGGGCCGCGGCAGCUGCGUCCCCAUGAGGAGGGGAGGAAGAUGCCGGCUGAGCUGCUGCUGCUGCUGAUAGUCGCCUUCGCCAACCCCAGCUGCCAGGUGCUGUCAUCACUGCGCAUGGCUGCAAUCCUGGACGACCAGACCGUGUGUGGCCGUGGUGAGCGUCUGGCCCUGGCCCUGGCCCGAGAGCAGAUCAAUGGGAUCAUCGAGGUCCCAGCCAAGGCCCGAGUGGAAGUAGACAUCUUUGAGCUGCAACGGGACAGCCAGUACGAGACUACGGACACCAUGUGUCAGAUCCUGCCCAAGGGGGUUGUGUCUGUCUUGGGACCCUCCUCCAGCCCAGCUUCUGCCUCCACCGUGAGCCAUAUC